rnacentral:rRNA from 1 species
GUUCAUCCUGGCUCAGGAUGAACGCUAGCGGCAGGCUUAAUACAUGCAAGUCGAGGGGCAGCAUGACACUUCGGUGUUGAUGGCGACCGGCAAACGGGUGCGUAACGCGUAUGCAACUUGCCUCGCACUAGGGGAUAGCUUUUGGAAACAGAAAUUAAUACCCUAUAUAAUGCUAAUACCGCAUGGUUUUAGCAUGAAAGAACUUCGGUGUGAGAGAGGCAUGCGUCCUAUUAGCUUGUUGGUGAGGUAACGGCUCACCAAGGCAAAGAUAGGUAGGGGGUCUGAGAGGAUGUCCCCCCACACUGGUACUGAGAUACGGACCAGACUCCUACGGGAGGCAGCAGUAGGGAAUAUUGGUCAAUGGGCGAAAGCCUGAACCAGCUAUGCCGCGUGCAGGAUGAAGGUCUUUUGAUUGUAAACUGCUUUUAUGUAGGAAAAACAAGUCUCCGAGGAGACCCAUGAUGGUACUACAUGAAUAAGCACCGGCUAACUCCGUGCCAGCAGCCGCGGUAAGACGGAGGGUGCAAGUGUUAUCCGGAUUUACUGGGUUUAAAGGGUGUUAAGGCGGUCGUAUAAGUCGAUAGUGAAAGCUAGCAGCUCAACUGCUAAGGUGCUGUCGAUACCGUAUGACUUGAGUCUAGUGGAAGUAAGUGGAAUUCUGCAUGUAGCGGUAAAAUGCUUAGAUAUGCAGAGGAACACCGAUAACGAAGGUAGCUUACUAUGCUACGACUGACGCUGACACACGAAAGCGUGGGGAGCAAACAGGAUUAGAUACCCUGGUAGUCCACGCUGUAAACGAUGGCCACUCGAUAUGCGUCCCUUGAGGAUGUGUGUCCAAGCGAAAGCGUUAAGUGGCCCACCUGGGGACUACGUUCGCAAGAAUAAAACCUAAAGGAAUUGACGGGGAUCCGCACAAGCGGUGGAGCAUGUGGUUUAAUUCGAUACUACGCGAGGAACCUUACCUAGGCUUAAAUGUACAGUGACAGGCUGGGCAACCAGCCCUUCCGCAAGGACAAUGUACAAGGUGUUGCAUGGCUGUCGUCAGCUCGUGCCGUGAGGUGUUUGGUUAAGUCCUAUAACGAGCGCAACCCCCAUGCUUAGUUGCCAGCACGUAAAGGUGGGAACUUUAAGCAGACUGCCCGCGCAAGCGGUGAGGAAGGAGGGGAUGAAGUCAAGUCAUCAUGGCCCUUACGCCUAGGGCUACACACGUGCUACAAUGGCAUAUACAAAGGGUCGCUACUUGGUAACAAGAUGCUAAUCUCUAAAGUAUGUCUCAGUUCGGAUUGAGGUCUGCAACUCGACCUCAUGAAGUUGGAAUCGCUAGUAAUCGCGUAUCAGCAAUGUCGCGGUGAAUACGUUCUCGGAUCUUGUACACACUGCCCGUCAAGUCAUGGAAGUCGAGGGGACCUGAAGACGGUGACCGUAAAAGGAGCUGUUUAGGGUUAAAUCGGU